GUGAAAGAAGAAGAAGAAUCUUUUCGCUCUUUGGCUGCUGCUGCUGUUGUCCAUCUGUCAAGUUCAACCAACAAUUUUUCCUAUCGGUUGUUUGUGCAGCUGCGGGACCCAGCCAGGCACGCAGCGCGCCAUUUUCAAAAAGGAGAGAAACACGCAAUCAAAUAGGACCUUCACCUGUCGAUGGGUCAAAACGAUUUUCUUUACCUCAUCGCCCUUUUUUAUUUUUUUGACAAGUUUAUCAU